AGAGUGGACCCCUGAAGCUCACUGAAGCAGUGCCCCCUGGUGGCCAGUGUAAGAACCACAUCGCCAUCGCCUGAGCCUUUGUCUCUUCACGAAUCUCAGUGGUUCUGUUUAAAGCAUGGAUGCCCUCGAGCCUAGGGCUGGGCCUGUGGUCACCGCUGGAGAGCAGAUGAUGCAGAUGCUGAAGACCGACGUGCCUGGGUCCCCCUGCCGCCCUGACCCCACGCUCUGUGGGCGCGUCUCUGGAAGAAGCCUGGAGACAAAUAUUGGAGCUUCUGGUGCUGCUGGUGACCACCCCCAGGACCACCCCCGCGCAGCUGGUGUCCCCACGUGGUCGCGUGGCUGCCUGCCUGCCAGUCAUCAGCCUCGGUGGCUGGGUUUGCGUCCUGAGUCUGAGAGCGACUGGUGCCUUGUUCAAGACCAAGAUAGCCAAGAGCUUGACAUGUGCCCGUUUCCCAGUAAUCACGGAAACGGCAGCCUUGGGCACGGUGCUGAGAGCGAAGAGAAGUGACCACAGAGUUACUGCAGGGGAUUUCCUCCCGUGGAUUCUGUGAUAGCUGCGUGUUUGCAAGAAAGAGGGAUCUCGUGUCUGUGGCUGUGAACGUAGUGCCGACCUCCUGUUAGUCAGUAGACCCCCUUUGAAAGGCCACAGGAAAGCUGGUGUCGCCGACCACCGCUGUGUCUCUGUCCUCUGUAUGUUCGUGGCCCCCGAGUCCUGCCUGCGUGCUGAGUAUCUGCUGCUCUCCCGUGCGUCCGGGAAAUCUCCACAUAGAUGUUAGAUAUUUCGUAUGUUCUCCUUAGCCUUUGUAAUCAAGAUUUUAGCAGUAUUUUCAAUCCGCAAAGUUAAAGCAUUAAACGAGUUGUAGAAAUGACUACAGAUGAAGAACACCAUGUAUUUUGUUAAAUAUGUUACAAGGUUAAACACUUACUCACUGGAACCAUAAAGAGUAGACCAAGUGUAUUGUAUCCACUCGUAGUUUGAUGUAGAUAAUGAAAUGUAAUCGUUACUCAUUGCCUGAGCCAGUUGCAGACUCCAACUUUGUUUCAUUAACUAGAAAUUACUCUGCACCGUUCAGAGAGGGGGUGCCGCAGGUGAAACCCUUUUCUCCAUUGUGGCCAGUCCUGGCCAAUUCCCGGCACCCAUCUGUUCCCCCAAGCACCACCAGGAGUGACCCCUGAGCACAGAGCCAGGAGUAAACCCUGCAAACCACCAGAUGUGGUCCACAAUCCCAAGAUAAAUAAAUAAUCUUUAUAAAUUAGUAAAUGCCUAAUGAUUAGAAAGAAAUGGAAAUUUAUUAGUAAAUGCCUAAUGAUUAGAAAGAAAUGGAAAUUUAUUAGUAAAUGCCCAAUGAUUUGAAGUAAAUUAGAAACUGCAAAUCUGUCCUUGGUGUGGACAUAUAAAUUGUUGUCACCAUCAAGAUUGCUACCUUGCUUUCACGAUAGACGUGAAAGAAAGCAAGGAAUGGUUAAAUGCGUUCUUCUGGCUGGCUCAUUUAAUGAGAGGUAUUCAUAGUAGUAUUGUAAGUAUAAUCAUCACAUAAUAUAUAGUUAUCAGUAAAAAAAAUGGGCCGUUGUGCAAUAAUCCAUAUUAUACAUGUCGCGAGGUUGAUGGUUUGUAGCGCUGUGAGCGUGAGCUGUGUGGACCGGUGCUGGCGUCAGAGGCUCUGACGGUCAGGCCCGGCUGUGUUCUUCAGAUGUUGUAAAGCUUGUCUUUGUUUUUGUUUUGCGUGGCUCUAUAUGUACUUUUGUGAAUAUUAAUGGCUAACAGCACUAUUACGGAAAUAUAAAGGAGAAAGUGUGAAGCAUUGUGCAACUAUGAACAUAUGUGGAGAGACAACGUAUAUUCUAAAUAAAAAUAUAAAACACUGAA